rnacentral:rRNA from 1 species
AGCAGCCGCGGUAAUUCCAGCUCCAAUAGCGUAUAUUAAAGUUGUUGCAGUUAAAAAGCUCGUAGUUGAAUUUCGGGGUCAGCAGGUUGGUCGUGCCACUGGUAUGAACUGGCCUUGCUGAUUCCUCCUUCUUGAAGAACCGUGAUGCCAUUAAUUUGGUGUUGCGGGGAAACAGGACUGUUACUUUGAAAAAAUUAGAGUGUUUAAAGCAGGCUAACGCUUGAAUACAUUAGCAUGGAAUAAUAAAAUAGGACGUUUGAUCCUAUUUUGUUGGUUUCUAGGGUUGACGUAAUGAUUAAUAGGGAUAGUUGGGGGCAUUAGUAUUCAAUUGUCAGAGGUGAAAUUCUUGGAUUUAUUGAAGACUAACUACUGCGAAAGCAUUUGCCAAGGAUGUUUUCAUUAAUCAAGAACGAAAGUUAGGGGAUCGAAGACGAUCAGAUACCGUCGUAGUCUUAACCAUAAACUAUGCCGACUAGGGAUCGGAUGAUGUUAAUUUUUUAAUGACUCAUUCGGCGCCUUACG